AAUAUUGGACAAUGGGCGAAAGCCUGAUCCAGCAAUGCCGCGUGAGUGAUGAAGGCCCUAGGGUUGUAAAGCUCUUUUACCCGGGAUGAUAAUGACAGUACCGGGAGAAUAAGCUCCGGCUAACUCCGUGCCAGCAGCCGCGGUAAUACGGAGGGAGCUAGCGUUGUUCGGAUAUACUGGGCGUAAAGCGCACGUAGGCGGCUUUGUAAGUUAGAGGUGAAAGCCCAGGGCUCAACCCUGGAAUUGCCUUUAAGACUGCAUCGCUUGAAUCAUGGAGAGGUGAGUGGAAUUCCGAGUGUAGAGGUGAAAUUCGUAGAUAUUCGGAAGAACACCAGUGGCGAAGGCGACUCACUGGACAUGUAUUGACGCUGAGGUGCGAAAGCGUGGGGAGCAAAC
rnacentral:rRNA from 1 species